rnacentral:rRNA from 1 species
GACGAACGCUGGCGGCGUGCUUAACACAUGCAAGUCGAACGGAAAGGCCCUGCUUUUGUGGGGUGCUCGAGUGGCGAACGGGUGAGUAACACGUGAGUAACCUGCCCUUGACUUUGGGAUAACUUCAGGAAACUGGGGCUAAUACCGGAUAGGAGCUCCUGCUGCAUGGUGGGGGUUGGAAAGUUUCGGCGGUUGGGGAUGGACUCGCGGCUUAUCAGCUUGUUGGUGGGGUAGUGGCUUACCAAGGCUUUGACGGGUAGCCGGCCUGAGAGGGUGACCGGCCACAUUGGGACCGAGAUACGGCCCAGACUCCUACGGGGGGCAGCAGUGGGGAAUAUUGCACAAUGGGCGGGAGCCUGAUGCGGCAACGCCGCGUGCGGGAUGACGGGCUUCGGGUUGUAAACCGCUUUCGCCUGUGACGAAGCGUGAGUGACGGUAAUGGGUAAAGAAGCACCGGCUAACUACGUGC